UAGAGUUUGAUCCUGGCUCAGAACGAACGCUGGCGGCAGGCUUAACACAUGCAAGUCGAACGCCCCGCAAGGGGAGUGGCAGACGGGUGAGUAACGCGUGGGAACGUGCCCUUUGGUUCGGGAUAACCCGGGGAAACUCGGGCUAAUACCGGAUAAGCCCCGGACUUGAUCCGGGGGAAAGGUUUACUGCCGAAGGAUCGGCCCGCGUCGGAUUAGCUAGUUGGUGGGGUAACGGCCUACCAAGGCGACGAUCCGUAGCUGGUCUGAGAGGAUGAUCAGCCACACUGGGACUGAGACACGGCCCAGACUCCUACGGGAGGCAGCAGUGGGGAAUAUUGGACAAUGGGCGCAAGCCUGAUCCAGCCAUGCCGCGUGGGUGAAGAAGGCCCUAGGGUUGUAAAGCCCUUUCAGCGGGGACGAUAAUGACGGUACCCGCAGAAGAAGCUCCGGCUAACUUCGUGCCAGCAGCCCCGGUCAA
rnacentral:rRNA from 1 species